rnacentral:rRNA from 1 species
UGGGGAAUAUUGGACAAUGGGCGCAAGCCUGAUCCAGCCAUGCCGCGUGAGUGACGAAGGCCUUAGGGUUGUAAAGCUCUUUUGGCGGGGAAGAUAAUGACGGUACCCGCAGAAUAAGCUCCGGCUAACUUCGUGCCAGCAGCCGCGGUAAUACGAAGGGAGCUAGCGUUGUUCGGAAUCACUGGGCGUAAAGGGUGUCGAGGCGGUUGUAUUAGUCGUUCGUAAAAUCUACGAGCUUAACUUGUAGGCGGCGAACGAAACGGUACGACUUGAGGUUUGGAGAGGUGCGUGGAACUCACGGUGUAGGGGUGAAAUCCGUUGAUAUCGUGGGGAACACCAAAGGCGAAGGCAGCGCACUGGCCAAAAUCUGACGCUCACACACGAAAGCUAGGGUAGCGAAGAGGAUUAGAUACCCCAGUAGUCCCUGAGCGGGCUGGCAAGGCGCAU